rnacentral:rRNA from 1 species
ACCAGACUCCUACGGGAGGCAGCAGUGGGGGAUAUUGCACAAUGGGGGGAACCCUGAUGCAGCGACGCCGCGUGAGUGAAGAAGUAUCUCGGUAUGUAAAGCUCUGUCAGCAGGGAAGAAGAAUGACGGUACCUGAAGAAGAAGCACCGGCUAAAUACGUGCCAGCAGCCGCGGUAAUACGUAUGGUGCAAGCGUUAUCCGGAUUUACUGGGUGUAAAGGGAGCGUAGGCGGUGCAGCAAGUCAGAAGUGAAAGCCCGGGGCUCAACUCCGGGACUGCUUUUGAAACUGUUGAACUAGAUUGCAGGAGAGGUAAGUGGAAUUCCUAGUGUAGCGGUGAAAUGCGUAGAUAUUAGGAGGAACACCGGUGGCGAAGGCGGCUUACUGGACUGUAAAUGACGCUGAGGCUCGAAAGCGUGGGGAGCAAACAGGAUUAGAUACCCUAGUAAA